rnacentral:tRNA from 1 species
AUAAAUGGCUUGCUGUUUUACCCGAAGGACUCAAAAUCCGCCGACCGCAAGGUCAUGGGGGUUCGAUUCCCCCUCCCGGCACCA